rnacentral:lncRNA from 1 species
AGAAGAAGAAGCAAGAACCUCUGGGAUCUACUAAAGCUGCAUGCUACUAGAUCCCCACAUCCAGGGUCCAAGUCCUACCAUCAUUGUCACCACACCCAAGAGAAACGCAGAUCAAGAUGCUAAAGGAGACAAAGCCAAGCUGAAGAACAAAUCAGGCUGAAGUCAAGGCACGUGAUUUUUUCAUUAGGUAUUCUCUUGUACGUAUCCUGGAUUCUGUGUACAGCCACU